GUGCCAGCAGCCGCGGUAAUACGUAGGGGGCGAGCGUUAUCCGGAUUCAUUGGGCGUAAAGCGCGCGCAGGCGGCCUGCUCGGUCGGGAGUCAAAUCCGGGGGCUCAACCCCCGCCCGCUCCCGAUACCGGCGGGCUUGAGUCUGGUAGGGGAAGGCGGAAUUCCCAGUGUAGCGGUGGAAUGCGCAGAUAUUGGGAAGAACACCGGUGGCGAAGGCGGCCUUCUGGGCCACGACUGACGCUGAGGCGCGAAAGCUAGGGGAGCGAACAGGAUUAGAUACCCUGGUAGUCCUAGCCGUAAACGAUGGACACUAGGUGUGGGGGGAGGAUCCCUCCGUGCCGCAGCCAACGCAUUAAGUGUCCCGCCUGGGGAGUACGGCCGCAAGGCUAAAACUCAAAUAAAUUGACGG
rnacentral:rRNA from 1 species